ACGCACGCUGGCGGCUUGCCUAAUCCCUGCACGUAGAACGCUGAAGGCGGAGCUUGCUUCUCCGGAUGAGUUGCGAACGGGUGAGUAACGCGUAGGUAACCUGCCUGGUAGCGGGGGAUAACUAUUGGAAACGAUAGCUAAUACCGCAUAAGAGUAGAUGUUGCAUGACAUUUGCUUAAAAGGUGCAAUUGCAUCACUACCAGAUGGACCUGCGUUGUAUUAGCUAGUUGGUGGGGUAACGGCUCACCAAGGCGACGAUACAUAGCCGACCUGAGAGGGUGAUCGGCCACACUGGGACUUGGACACGGCCCAGACUCCUACGGGAGGCAGCAGUAGGGAAACUUCGGCAAUGGACGGAAGUCUGACCGAGCAACGCCGCGGGAGGGAAGAAGGGUUUCGGAUCGGAAAGCUCUGUUGUAAGAGAAGAACGAGUGUGAGAGUGGAAAGUUCACACUGUGACGGUAUCUUAACAGAAAGGGACGGCUAACUACGUG
rnacentral:rRNA from 1 species